rnacentral:rRNA from 1 species
GACGUAGGUGGCGAACGUUAUCCGGAAUUAUUGGGCGUAAAGAGCUCGUAGGCGGUCUGUCGCGUCGGCUGUGAAAACCCGGAGCUCAACUCCGGGCCUGCAGUCGAUACGGGCAAACUGGAGUGUUGCAGGGGAGACUGGAAUUCCUGGUGUAGCGGUGAAAUGCGCAGAUAUCAGGAGGAACACCGGUGGCGAAGGCGGGUCUCUGGGCCGAAACUGACGCUGAGGAGCGAAAGCGUGGGGAGCAAACAGG